GGCCAGUAUGGUGUAGUGGUUGAGCAUUGGAUUAAGACUCCAGAGACCAGGGUUCAAAUCCAAGCUCGGCCA